AAUGAACGCUGGCGGCAUGCCUAACACAUGCAAGUCGAACGAAGGCUUCGGCCUUAGUGGCGCACGGGUGCGUAACGCGUGGGAAUCUGCCCCUUGGUUCGGAAUAACAGUUAGAAAUGACUGCUAAUACCGGAUGAUGACGUAAGUCCAAAGAUUUAUCGCCGAGGGAUGAGCCCGCGUAGGAUUAGCUAGUUGGUGUGGUAAGAGCGCACCAAGGCGACGAUCCUUAGCUGGUCUGAGAGGAUGAUCAGCCACACUGGGACUGAGACACGGCCCAGACUCCUACGGGAGGCAGCAGUGGGGAAUAUUGGACAAUGGGCGAAAGCCUGAUCCAGCAAUGCCGCGUGAGUGAUGAAGGCCUUAGGGUUGUAAAGCUCUUUUACCCGGGAUGAUAAUGACAGUACCGGGAGAAUGAGCUCCGGCUAACUCCGUGCCAGCAGCCGCCGUAA
rnacentral:rRNA from 1 species